ACGCAAUUAGCCUGGGUACUCAAAUUGGAAUGAUACAGAAAAGAUUAGCAUGGCUCCUGCACAAGGAUGACACGCAAAUUCGUGAAGUGUUCCCAAAAAAA
rnacentral:snRNA from 1 species